rnacentral:rRNA from 1 species
AGAUCACAGGGAUUGCCCCAGUAACGGCGAGUGAAGCGGCAGGAGCUCAAAUUUGAAAUCUGGGGCCCCCGGCCUCCGAGUUGUAAUUUGGAGAGGCUCCUUCGGGGGGGAGCGCUGGCCCAUGUUCCUUGGAACAGGACGUCGCAGAGGGUGAGAAUCCCGUGCCAGGCCGGCUGCCUCCUCCCGCGUGAAGGGCCUUCGACGAGUCGAGUUGUUUGGGAAUGCAGCUCCAAGCGGGUGGUAAAUUUCAUCUAAAGCUAAAUACCGGCGGGAGACCGAUAGCGCACAAGUAGAGUGAUCGAAAGAUGAAAAGCACUUUGAAAAUAGAGUCAAAAAGUACGUGAAAUUGUUGAAAGGGAAGCGCUUGAGACCAGACUCAGACCCAGGCAAACACCGCGUCCCCAGGGGCCGUGCAAUUGCCCGGUGCUGGGCCAGCAUCAGUUGGCGUGGCGGGACAAGGGCGCGGGAAAUGUGGCUCCCCUCGGGGAGUGUUACCAGGCCCGCGCCGGAUGCCGCCGACGCCGACUGAGGACCGCGCCUCGGCUAGGAUGCUGGCUUAAUGGCCUUCAGCGACCCGUCUUGAAACACGGACCAAGGAGUCUAACAUCUAUGCGAGUGUUUGGGCGCCAAACCCUUGCGCGGAAUGAAAGUGAGCGGAGGUGGGAACCCCUCAACCGGGCGCACCAUCGACCGAUCCUGAUGUCUUCGGAUGGAUUUGAGUAGGAGCAUAGCUGUUGGGACCCGAAAGAUGGUGAACUAUGCCUGAAUAGGGUGAAGCCAGAGGAAACUCUGGUGGAGGCUCGCAGCGGUUCUGACGUGCAAAUCGAUCGUCAAAUUUGGGUAUAGGGGCGAAAGACUAAUCGAACCAUCUAGUAGCUGGUCCUGC